UCUGUCAAAUAAAUAAAUAACCAAAAAUAAACAAAUAAACAAACAAACAAAUAAAUAAAUUCUUGUGAAUGUGCUUCUCACUUUCCUCUAGCACUCACAUCCCAAUCACAUUCCAGCAUACAAAACAUAAAUCUAUUUAUUUUAUUUUAUAUCUAUCUUUCUAAGAAGCACUGAGAACAGGGAAGAAAGAAAAACACGGAUCUCUGGCAAGUCAACCCAAAAUGAAGAGAGGGAGAAAAUCAAGAUGACAGGGCCACAGGGUCUGGACGAGGAAGAUGCCCCCACGGAACACUAAUCCUCAUGUCCUACCGAGAUUCCCACUUACCUGAAAAAUGAUAUAUUCACUCUGACUGAAGCUACCCUGUAUAUUUUUUACUGCAUGAAAGUGGGCAAAGUCUGGAAGCAGUUAUGUAAAAGUAAAAACGGUAAUAUCAUUAAUGUUUUCUUUAAUGACGUUAUAUAAUUUUUCCAAUAAGAUUGACCAGAGGAGGAAGAAUCAUUUCAGUUAGCUCUCUGGACCACAGAACUUGUAGUGCAUAGUGCGAAAAUCCUACCAUGUUACCCAAGCAGCUAAUCCAUGAGCAGCCCCUGCAUUGUGGCUUCUUCCUGCAAAGGCUCAACCUGUUCCCAUCAACCUCUUCAGGCAUAUCCAUCAAGGCUCUGGAGCAGUAACAGCACUUAGCCUCAAGCCUGUUUUUCUAGAAGGAGGAGGAGGAGGAUUCAGCACUGGUCUCUGUAGAGGACUCUGUUCUACCCGACGCCCAUUCGGGGUGAUUUCCUGUAAUGAAAUUUCCAUUCAACAAUGUGACUGCAAGCAGCACAGGAGUAGCAAAUGACACAGAAAAUGUGAUCACUGGCCUGCAUGGAGUCUGCAGGACAAGAGAUGCGCAUAUCAACACGUAGGUGACAGCAGCAAGCUGCACUGUGAGGGACCCAGUUGAGAAGCCUGCUUUAAGCAAUGGGGCUCAUCCCAUGCCACACAAAUAGCCCCAUGUGGUAAGUGCCCAACAUCCUCCUCACACCCCCACCCAUGGACUCCCACCAUUUACCCUGCCUUUGGGGCUGAUUCUCGUGGCAGCCCCCAUCCUGCCGGCAUCUGAUCACACUCUUAUUUAGGGCCCUAUUUCACGUUUAGUACCUGAAGCACACCCACAGUUUACCUGUGAUGACCCUGACUUCUCUCCUUCACACAGAAUCUUCCUAACCUAUGCUUUCUCAGACCACCCUGGGAAAUCUAGAACCUUUUACACUACUGCAGCCUUCUGAAGAACAGCACUCCCCACAGGCAUUCUCAGGUCUCAAAAUGAGGG